rnacentral:lncRNA from 7 species
GCAGGCAGCUCAGGCGCUCAGCUAGCUAGCAAGCAGCAGCAGCACCUCUCAAACCUUUCUUUCUGCCUCCCCCCGUCUCUUUCGUUCGCUGCCAGACAUUCUAGCCCUCUCGAGUAGCUAGCUCGAGCGGUGCAUGCAUCUGUAGCUACCUAGCCGACAUGGGCAAAGAUGAGGAGGGCGCGCGUGCGCUGCUUCGUGCCCUCUCUGGUGUUGGCGAGAGGCCGGCCCAGCAGGCGCGCCUUCCGCGCAUGGCGGGACAGAGACGACCAAGGAACGGAGGUGGCGGUGAUCGUCCAAUCCGAGGCUGAAGGAGCUAGCUAACUGGUGGUGUGGUGGUGGUGCUGGUGUGUGUAGGGUCUAACUCGAUCGGCGAUUUCGGCGGCGGCAUACAUGGGAAAGCCAGGCAUUUUUCUCGCAGUCCAACAAGUACCCUUUCCGUUAGCUUUCCUCUCCAUGCAUAUUGCAGCAUUGCACGGUACGGUGGUGGUGGUUAAUCAACAGCUAGUCUUAGUUUGAAUGAAUCCAUCGUCGAUCUAAGAACACUACUGUGUUUUUUUGUUUUUGGCAUUGUUCUCUUAUCCCUCUUUA